CAAAAAACAGUAAUAGGGGUAUUCUUGUGAAAAAACAGUAAUUGGAGUCUCUAAAAAAGGUUCGAGUUUAUGUCCGAAGAAAUUUACACUAAUUUUAAUUUAAGGAAUGAUAUGUGUCAACAUCAUAAGUCUUGAUGCAAAUUUCUUAAAUCAGAUCUGGCACGUUGGUUUGAGAAGAGAAGGUUAAAUCCUAGCCAUUCAUUGAAUACUUUUCAUUUCAGAUGAGGAAAGGGCAUUAGAAGUUUCCACACGUGAAUAGCACAUGCACACACAUUGUAAAAAAUAGUUUUCUGUUAGUUAGUUACACAAUUAGCCAAUAGGAAAUAAUACAAGUGUUUGUGAAUAUUUAUUUACAUUCUUUUGUAUCUAAAACAUAGCUUUGUAUUUAAGGAGUAGACUAUUGUGAACAAAAUUACGAGGAGAAAAAUUCAGAAUGUUAGUCUUUUCUUUCAUGGUAUCUGAGCAAAUCUAGCUUGAUCCAUUCACAAAAUUUCUUAUGUCUCUAUCAUCUUCAAUCUGUGGAUUAAAUCAUAAUUGGUACAAAAGCUGCAACUAAUAUUUCUGUUUCUGGAUCCACAAGCAGUGGAGCAACCAAUGACUCCAAUUACCCUUAUCACUUGCACUCUUUUGAUACUCCAGGAAUGGCUUUAGUGAGCUUACCAUUUGAUGGGCGAGUAUUCCCAGGAUGGAAGAGGUAUGUCCCUAUUGUAAUCUCAGCCAAGAACAAGCUUGGCUUCAUUAAUAUAUCUUGUGCAGAACCAACAAUAGAUAACAAGGAUUAUUUAUUGUGUAGCAGAUGCAAUGACAUGGUCACCUCAUGGUUGCUCAACUCUUUGACCAAAGAGAUAGGUGACAGUGUCAUCUACUCAAGAACAGCUAAGGACCUUUGGAGCAGCCUGGAACACAGGUUUGGGCAGUCAAGUGGCGCUGAGUUAUACCAUCUGCAGAAGGAAAUUUCAACAACAAUUCAGGAAACCAACAACAUAUCAGGUUAUUUCACUACUCUUAAGAGACUAUGGGAUGAACUGGACUUCUUUAACUCACACUUAGGGUGCACUUGUGCAUGUAAUAUGAUGGCAAGAAGAAGAUGGCUAAAUGCACGAAAGACCAAAAGGUCAUUCAAUUCUGUCUCUCUCAGAGUUCCACACUUUUCAUCCCAUCCUACAACAGACCUUACACCAAUCCCAGAUGAGUCUUACACUCCUUCCUACUCACUUGUCCACACAUUAUCCAAAAUUGUGAUUCUUACAGCCAGGGUUAUUAAAAGCGCUCGCUUCUCGCUUUAAGCGACGAAGCCAGGCGAGGCGCAGGAGUUACGCUUUUCUGGAAAAAGAGCGACUCACAUUAGAAAAGCGCACGCUUUUCUCGCUUAAACGAGAAGCGACGAAGCGAUAAAAGCGUUAAAAAGCUCGCUGGCUGAAGCUACGGUUUUUUUUAAAAAAUUUUGGGCAAAUAAACAUACGCUCCAAAGGCAUCUGUUACCAAUACAUAUGCGAACGACCACUUCUGUUCAUCUUCUUCUUCUUCUAGUCUUCUUCUUCAGUUCUUCUGUUCUUCUUCUUCAUGCUCUGUAUUUUGUCUUCUUCUGUUAUACUUCUUCUUUUCUGUUUUUCUUUCAAUUUUUUUCUCCAGAUUAUGCUCUGUUCAGCUAAAGAUCACUGCUGUUCUGUUUUUCUUUUUGUUCUGUUAUUAAAAGUGUUGUUUAUGCUCUGUUUUCUUCUCUUUAUGCUCUAUUUCUGUUAUUAAAAGUGUUGCUUAUGACUUUAUGCUCUGUUUUCUGUUUAGGGCAGUGAAUUAAUUGUUUUCUUUUUUUUUUUUUGCAUUUGCUUAAGAUAUUAAGACUUUUGAGGAUUAUUCACUAUCUAGUUUUAGUAUCUUUUAUGAAACAUUUGCUUAAUAUGUUAUUUUUAAUGAGUUCUUAGCCAUUUAUCUAUGCCUACUUUUUUAAUUUUUUUAUGUGUUAAAUUACGCUUCACAGCAAAAAAGCGUGCGCUUUGUUUCACGCUUCUCGCUUCUGUGAAGCGAGGCCUUGUCGCUUUUUUGCGCUUUUAUUAUGAAAUAUUUGCUUAAUAUGUUAUUUUUAAUGAGUUAUUAGCCAUUUAUCUAUGCCUAUUUUUUUAUUUUUUAUGUGUAAAAUUACGCUUCACAGCAAAAACGCGUGUGCUUCGCUUCACGCUUGUCGCUUCUGUGAAGCGAGGCCUCGUCGCUUUUUUGCGCUUAACGCUUUCCAAAACACUGCUUACACCUCCACCGCCUAUCAGGAAGUCUGACAGAGUUUCUCAAAGACCUGCUUAUUUGAAGGACUAUGUGUGUAAUGCUAUCAUUCUCUAUGAUCUCAUUAGUUAUUAUUUCAUUCACUCUGCUACACCUAAUGUUUUCUCUUUUGGAGCUCUUUCUGCCACCAAUCAAUAUCUUGUUCAAUCACUAUCUACUAUAUCUGAACCUAACAGCUAUGCCCAAGCUUUCAUACACCUAGGAUAGAAAGCAACUAUGGAAGCAGAUUACAUCAUUACAAUUAAAUCACACUUGGGAUGUGGUAGAUUUUCUUCUAUGGAAGAAGGCUUUAACUUGUAAAUAGGUGUACAAGAUAAAACAUCACUCAGACGAGACAGUAAAAAGAUUGAAAGCUAGGUUAGUUGUUAGGGGGACAUUCAGAGAGAAGGGAUUAACAAUUUUGAGACCUUUUCACUAGUAGUCAACACGACUACCAUAAGGUAUCUUUUGACACUGGCUAUAAAGAAAGGUGGGAGAGUAUCACAACUUGAUGUGAAUAAUGUAUUUUUCCAUGAAGAAUUGCAGGAAGAGGUUUAGAUAAAAUUCUCUGCAGGAGUUUUCCCACCUAAACCAAAUCAAGUAUAUCUCUUGAAGAAAUAUUAUGGGUUAAAACAGGCAUCAAGACAGUAGUACGCCAGACUUGCAGGAGCUUUAAGUUUUAAAGGUUAUUUUAGUUCACUCAAUGAUUAUUAUCUUUUCUACAAAUAGAACGUAGCUCUUGUUUCUAUCCUAGUAGUAUAUGUAGAUGAUAUCCUACUCACAGGUGAUGAUGCAACAAAGAUCGAAAACAUUACUGGUUUUCUUAAUUCAGAACUUAAAGUGAAAUAUUUAGGUGAUAUUCAUUAUUUUCUUGGAAUGGAAAUACUCGGAGAAAACCAAGGGUUAAUUAUCAGCCAAAGAAAGAUUACCUUAGAGUUGCUAUAGGAGUUCGAUUGUUCAAGAGAUCGGAUUUCUUCACCUCUUCAUCCUUCCACUAAGCUUCAAGCAGAUUUGGGGCCACACUUGGAUGACCCAAGCCUUUAUCACUAUCUAGGUGGUAAGCUUAACUAUUUGACGAACACCAGACCUAACCUUUCAUUUGCUGUUUAGUUUCUGAGUCAGUAUAUACAAAAGCCUUCUUUUUCUCAUUUUACUGCUGCUCAACGCGUGUUAAGAUAUCUCCGCACAGAUCCCUCACAAAGAAUUCUUUUAUCUUUACACUCUUUCUUUGAUUUGAUGGCCUUUUGCCAUGCUGAUUGGGCGGCCUGUCGCGAUUCUAGACGAUCAGUGAGGGGGUUCUUCAUUUCUCUUGUAGAUACGCUUAUUUUCUGGAAAUCUAAGAAGCAAGAUUUUAUUUCUUUAUCCUCUGCUGAAGCUGAAUAUAGUUCCAUGCGUCGUGUAACGGCAGAGACCACUUGGGUCAUUCAUUUUUUGGGAGAUCUCAUUGUCCAGCCUACCUAACCAGUGCCUAUUCAUUCCGAUAGCUAGCCGACGAUUCACAUAGCUGGCAAACCAGUCUUCUAUGAAUGCACCAAACAUGUAGAGCUGGAUUGUUAUUUUGUUCGUCAACAAUUUCUCUUUGGUUUGAUCUCUUUUUUUUCAUUGGACUGUCAGCUUCCCGAUUUGUUUACCAAACCUUUAUCUGGGGGUUCUCAUCGACGUAUUUUAUGCAAGCUGAGAGUUCAUUUUCUCCCUGCCACCUUGAGGGGGGACGUUCAAGGUCAGAACCCCCAUGUUAAUUCAGAGGAUGGUGAAGAAGAUAAGCAUCCAAGAGAGAAGGAGAAGUGUAGAGUUUCAGAGUCUCCAUAGAAAGGUUUUGAGUUUAUGCCCGAAGAAAUUUUGUACUAAUUUUAAGAGGAAUGAUACAUGUCAACAUUGUGAGCCUUGAUGUAAAUUUCUCAAGAUUAGAUCUGACGCGUUGGUUUGAGAAGAGAAGGCUAAAUCCUAGCCACUCAUUUAAUAGCUUUCAUUUCUGAUUAGGAAAGGCACUAGAAGUUUCCACACUUGAAUAGCACGUGCACACACGUUGUAAAGAAUAAUUUAUAUUAGUUAAUUACACAAUUAGCCAAUAGAAAAUAUCAUACGUGUAUAGGAAUAUUUAUUUAUAUUCUUUUGUAUCCACACAUAGCUCUGUAUAUAAGGACUAGACUGUUGUGAAUAAAAUUACAAGGAGUGUUAUGAAAUAAUAUAAAAGACAAGAACAAUAAUG
rnacentral:lncRNA from 1 species